rnacentral:sRNA from 1 species
UCAGAUUUAAAAGUUGAUCUCAACUGGGUGUGUUAUCUUUCGGUUAUUUGUGCAAAACAGAAGUUUUAAUGAUUGUGAAUUUUGAUAACAAAAGGAAAUCAGUAUGUUUAUAGUAAAGUACAAUUUACUUUCAAACCUCUAUGUUUUAUGACUGUGACUUAAACACUUUUUAAACUUAUUUUCACUUGGAGACUUCUUUCAUUCCCCUUGUUUUCUAGGUAUCAUUGUUACUAUCACUUUCCCCAUAAACCAUUAUUUAAUUUCAGGUCGCAGCUCUAGGAGAAUAUUUUUCUAAGGAGUAACUCCUAACUAUUCGUGUUAUAGGUGAUUUUUGUUAACUUUUAUGAUUUUAAGAUCUUGCUUAUGCAUGGCAUACACUUGUAGUGUUUUUGUCUCAUUGUACUAAUUUUUUAUGAUAAAUGUUUGAAAGAUCUAUCUUGUUUCUACUUCUUAGCUGGAGCUGUGAAGUUAAACCGACAACAGACUGAUAUGGCUGUUAAUUGGGCUGGAGGAUUACAUCAUGCUAAGAAAUCAGAAGCAUCAGGAUUCUGUUACGUUAAUGAUAUUGUGCUUGCCAUCCUUGAAUUACUAAAGUAUCAUCAGAGAGUCUUAUAUAUUGAUAUAGAUAUUCAUCAUGGUGAUGGUGUUGAAGAAGCUUUUUAUACAACAGAUCGUGUAAUGACGGUAUCAUUCCAUAAAUAUGGGGAAUACUUUCCUGGCACAGGAGACUUGAGGGAUAUUGGUGCUGGAAAAGGCAAAUACUAUGCUGUCAAUUUUCCAAUGAGAGAUGGUAUAGAUGAUGAGUCAUAUGGGCAGAUAUUUAAGCCUGUAAGUAUUAUUAUUUUCAAAAUUGGAAUGGAAUUUCAGAAUGUUAUUGGAAUGAUGCUAACUAACAUUUGUUACCUUGUGUGUAGAUUAUCUCAAAGGUGAUGGAGAUGUAUCAACCUAGUGCUGUGGUAUUACAGUGUGGUGCAGACUCAUUAUCUGGUGAUAGACUGGGUUGUUUCAAUCUAACAGUCAAAGGUAAGCAUUUCAGAGGGUGGUAUUUCCAGAAAAAAAUGGUUUUUCUUCCACCCAAGAACUUCCCGUAAAAGUUCUCAUUGUAGUUUCUUGCCUGCUGUUUUAACACUGUACUCUGCAUUUUUCAUGGGGUUUUGUCUGUUGUAUGUAUGACUAGAGUUAUUCUUGUUCCAUUAUGGCAGAUUUAUAUAUACAUUUAUACAUGACUAGUUUUUUAAGGUUUAUUGUAGUUUGAACCCAAGGCAGCUAUUUUUGAAUGGUUGUUGACUCAGUGUAAAUAAAACUUGCAUACUUUGUUACUUAAUUGGAUUAUUUAUUUCUCAUUAAGGAAGAAGAGGGUUUAGCUCUCCUCACCACUUUGCCCACAACAUACUUGUACCCUUCCCAUAUCUCUAUUUUUACAAAUCAGAAUUUGAUUGUGAUACUUGGUGUUUACAGCAGCAUCUUUAAACACUUUUCAGCUUAUCCAGUUUUUCUUUGCCACAUAAUUGUUGCUGAGUUUCUCAUUUGCUUAGUUUUCUCUCCACUUAUUGCUAAACUACUGGUGUCUCAGUAUCUUCAUGUGUUCAGAUUCAUUGAAUAUUCUGUCACUUUCACCUUCUUGAAAAACAGCCUUCUCAUCUGUUCAUGUUUGGAUGACUAUCUUUGGUAGACCUGGCAGGACAUAUAGCUGUUCUCUGCUUUUUUUCUGUUGUAUUGGUUCUCCCUGGUGGCUCUGUUCUCUGUCCUUAAUUUUUUUCUCAUGUUUUGGUGGAGCACCUUCUCAAGUAGCUUCCUGAUAAAAAGUGUGUGGGGGAUUAGGAGUGCUGCAGUACAUACUAAGUUUUGAUCAUGUGUUGAAAUCAGCAUAUGAUUGAAGGCUAGGCCAAAGCAAAAUAUCACCAUUCUGGAAUGAACUUCUAGGGUGUAAGAAUAAAUCUGAAAUUUUAUUUAAUAAGGUAUUAUAACUUAUAUGUAGAUUAGAAAUGAUUUUUAUCAUGAGUGUUUGUGUAUGAUUUUAGAGGUUUUUUUUCCACGUGAACUUUUAGGUAGCAAGUUGAUAGUGUGCUUUGUAUUCUCUAAGAUGUGGAGAAUUCUCAAAUAGAACUUUUUCCAGAACAAUUGCUGGUCUUAAUGGAAUUGGAUAACUAAAUACAGAUAUUAAAAGCUUAUUUAUUAAUGUUAUGAUUGCUACUAUACCAGCUAUAUUAGAAUUAUGGUAUAAUCUGUUAUUCUAUAUUAAGUGGAAUGAUAUUAAAUUAAUUGUCCCUUUGUAGGUCAACAGUGGUUGAACCGCAGUUUCAUAUUGUAACUUAAUGUGUUAAUAACCAUCUUUUGCCUCAAAAUGUUUAUAAACUUUCUAAAAUGAUCUACCUAAUGUACUCUUAAAAGUGUAUAUUAACUAUCAGUUUUCCUGUUUGACUUGAAAGUCCUUAAUGUUUUUGUACUUAAUAUUUUUUAUAAUCAUAAACUGCAGCAGUUCACUCUUAGAAAAAAAUUUACGUUGUAUUUCAGCUAAUAGAGUUUCAGUUGCAUAAAGCGUGUAAGGAUAUUUGUAAUUCCAAAUUUUAAACUUCAUUCUGAGUUUCUCUACUGCCAGCUUUGAUUCAGCUUUUUCAGAUCUGCUGAAGUUAGUUAUCUCUUUUCCAUCUCCUUGCUGCCAUCAGCUAUGUUCUUCUUGCUCUUGUAUUCUCUCCCAUUCUUCAUUUUUACAAAUUUUGGCCUUUAAAAAAAUCGCUUUCCAGUCAUUUUUGUCAAGUUUUGGGAUGAAGGAAAAGUAAACAUCUUUGUUUAGCCAGCUAUCUUUACUUGGAAGCCUGUAAGUUAACUUUUUGUAUAUUUGUUUUGUCUUUAAAAAUAUCCAAAUGGUUUUUAUCUGUUAUAAGAAACUUUUCUAGUAGCAGUAAUAAAAAUUGAGUGCUAGAAUUAUGUAAAUCACAUAGUGCAACUAUUGAAGAAUGCUUAAUGAAAAUUCCCACAGUAUACAGUUACAUGAAGAGAACAGAUAAACUUUGUAAAAUUAGCUCUGAAAUGGAAGGAAAUAUAGAAAAACGAUUUUUGAAUAAUGUCGUUUUUAUAAGGUUAGUUUUUUCAUUGUCCCUUUUUAAUUUUUUCCCGAAUACUCUUCAGUAUGCACAAAUGUCUUUUAUAAUUGAAGGAUUUUCUUUUCUUCUUUAAAGGUUGAGUUAUGUGCCUAACUGGUAAUAUUCCAGGAAAGGAACUUACUGGUAACUUAUAAAUGAUUAUUGAAUUAUGACAUUUAUCCACAUAAAAUAUUUACUUUUAUGUUAGGUUUACUAUUAAUAUUAAAUUUCUACACGUAGAAGUUGAAGUUUUUGAAAAUAUUAAUAGAUAUUUUUAACUCUUAAGUUAUGAAAAUUACUCAGUACCACUACCUAAAGUUAACUCAGGGUUAAACUAUGUUGUUUAGCUUUCCAUAAUUAUUUUACACAUGUCCAUAGGGAAAGAAAUGUUAAUAAAAAUUAAUUUAGAUUAUACAUAAUGUUUUAUUGUAACCUGAUUAAUUUCACCAUGUAACCCUACAUGAACAUCUUUCUAUGUUAAAAUAGGUGUAUAUUCAUAUUAUAAUCUUAAUAUAGUUGUGUACUUGACUUUUCCAUCAGGGACACUUGCUAAAAUGGCUAGUUAUAUCUUAAUUUUUUAGUAUGUAUUAUUGUGUAACGUGUUCGGAAAGGAGUUUUAGACUUGAAAUUUUUUACAUUUUUAUUUGUUUUUAAAAUAUUUAGAAAACCCAUUUUGGUUGAAUAAAAUUUGCACUUAUUGUUUUUUUAAAAUUUAUUUUUCAAACUGUUGCAGUAUGCAGAUUUUGUUGUUACCCAAAUCUUCUUGUCUUAGGUCAUGCUAAAUGUGUAGAAGUUGUAAAAACUUUUAACUUACCAUUACUGAUGCUUGGAGGAGGUGGCUACACAAUCCGUAAUGUUGCUCGAUGUUGGACAUAUGAGACUGCAGUUGCCCUUGAUUGUGAGAUUCCCAACGAGUUGCCAUAUAAUGAUUACUUUGAGUAUUUUGGACCAGACUUCAAAUUGCAUAUUAGUCCUUCAAACAUGACAAACCAGAACACUCCAGAAUAUAUGGAAAAGAUAAAACAGCGUUUAUUUGAAAAUUUGCGCAUGUUACCUCAUGCACCUGGUGUCCAGAUGCAAGCUAUUCCAGAAGAUGCCGUUCAUGAAGACAGUGGAGAUGAAGAUGGAGAAGAUCCAGACAAGAGAAUUUCUAUUCGAGCAUCAGACAAGCGGAUAGCUUGUGAUGAAGAAUUCUCAGAUUCUGAGGAUGAAGGAGAAGGAGGUCGAAGAAAUGUGGCUGAUCAUAAGAAAGGAGCAAAGAAAGCUAGAAUUGAAGAAGAUAAGAAAGAAACAGAGGACAAAAAAGCAGACGUUAAGGAAGAAGAUAAAUCCAAGGACAACAGUGGUGAAAAAACAGAUACCAAAGGAACCAAAUCAGAACAGCUCAGCAACCCCUGAAUUUGACAGUCUCACCAAUUUCAGAAAAUCAUUAAAAAGAAAAUAUUGAAAGGAAAAUGUUUUCUUUUUGAAGACUUCUGGCUUCAUUUUAUACUACUUUGGCAUGGACUGUAUUUAUUUUCAAAUGGCUUUUUCAUUUUUGUUUUUCUUGGCAAGUUUUAUUGUGAGUUUUUCUAAUUAUGAAGCAAAAUUUCUUUUCUCCACCAUGCUUUAUGUGAUAGUAUUUAAAAUUGAUGUGAGUUAUUAUGUCAAAAAAACUGAUCUAUUAAAGAAGUAAUUGGCCUUUCUGAGCUGAUUUUUCCAUCUUUUGUAAUUAUCUUUAUUAAAAAAUUGUACUUGG